CCUACGGGAGGCAGCAGUGAGGAAUAUUGGACAAUGGGCGCAAGCCUGAUCCAGCCAUGCCGCGUGCAGGAUGACGGUCCUAUGGAUUGUAAACUGCUUUUGUACAGGAAGAAACACUGGUUCGUGAACCAGCUUGACGGUACUGUAAGAAUAAGGAUCGGCUAACUCCGUGCCAGCAGCCGCGGUAAUACGGAGGAUCCAAGCGUUAUCCGGAAUCAUUGGGUUUAAAGGGUCCGUAGGCGGUUUGGUAAGUCAGUGGUGAAAGCCCAUCGCUCAACGGUGGAACGGCCAUUGAUACUGCCAGACUUGAAUUAUUAGGAAGUAACUAGAAUAUGUAGUGUAGCGGUGAAAUGCUUAGAGAUUACAUGGAAUACCGAUUGCGAAGGCAGGUUACUACUAAUUGAUUGACGCUGAUGGACGAAAGCGUGGGUAGCGAACAGGAUUAGAUACCCUGGUAGUCCACGCCGUAAACGAUGGAUACUAGNUGUGGNGNAUCUNGUGGCGAGAGAAGAGAGUAGUACUCCGCCGUGGGUAGGUACGUUCGNGAAGAAGUUAGUAACGACGAAGGAAGUUAGGACGGCGNGAGACGNGCGACGGACGACGACGAGGGAGGAGG
rnacentral:rRNA from 1 species